rnacentral:rRNA from 1 species
UGACUCGGAUCAGGUAGGGAUAACCCGCUUGAACUUAAGCAUUAUCCAAUAAGGCGG